UACAUGGGGUGCAAACGUUGCUCGGAAUUAUUGGGCGUAAAGCGCACGUAGGCGGUUCGUUAAGUCGGAUGUGAAAUCCCUCGGCUCAACUGAGGAUCGUCGAUCGAUACUGCCGUUCUUGAGGAUUGCAGAGGAGACUGGAAUUCCCGGUGUAGCGGUGAAAUGUGUAGAGAUCGGGAGGAACACCGGUGGCGAAGGCGGGUCUCUGGGCAAUUCCUGACGCUGAGGCGCGAAAGCGUGGGUAGCGAACAGG
rnacentral:rRNA from 1 species